CACACAUCCAUACAUCCAUCAGUUUAUCAACACUUCAACCUUCACACCAAACACAAGAACUUUCACCACCUCAACAACCACACGACACACUUCAAUAUCUCUUCAUUCUAGUGGCAGUGUUUCCCUUAGCACUGAUUCUGCCAUUUCUGGCUUUAUCUUCUAGAUAUGCAAAGGAUGAAGUGGCAUGUUCUGCUAUAGUCUAUGUUGAAACGGCAUUCCCACCUGAUCACACACAGAAUGAUGCAGUGGAGCUCAUUGAGUGUCAAUACCAAUGCUGAACGGACUUAACCCCCCCACCCCCCCCCACCCCAUUUUAAUCAGAAUUCACAUUCACAGUGUUUAUUUUAGUAAUCGAGCUUAUGUCCUUUGCAUGUUACAGUACAUGGGCAAAUGGGGAGAUGAUCUUCUAAUUAACAUGUCUGUCUAUUACUGUAAUUUCUGUUAGAAAAAGUCUCAAUCUCUUUUCCUGUAUGGAUGUUGAUGUGCUGGAACAGAGGAAGAACCACACCAAACUGUUGCCACACAGUUGAAAGCAUAGUAAAGUGAGACACUGUUCAUUUGUCAUCGCAUGCUAGUUUCAUGAUUACGCUGUAUUUUUUUCUUUCAAGAUGUUUUUUUUAUUUUAGUCCUCAUUUUACUAAUUUAGUCCUUCAUACUGCUAAUGAACAUUAUUGAUUUAUGUAUUGAAACAGCCUUGUACAGUAUAUUUUGUGCAACAUGUCUAAAACUGCUAUAAUGGCCAGGGGUCUCAUUUAUAAAACUGUGCGUAGGAUCCCUACUAAAAGUGUACGUACGCGCAAAAGCUAGAUUCUGCGUACGCACAAAA